rnacentral:rRNA from 1 species
UGGGGAAUAUUGGACAAUGGGCGCAAGCCUGAUCCAGCCAUACCGCGUGGGUGAAGAAGGCCUUCGGGUUGUAAAGCCCUUUUGUUGGGAAAGAAAAGCAUUCGGUUAAUACCCGAUUGUUCUGACGGUACCCAAAGAAUAAGCACCGGCUAACUUCGUGCCAGCAGCCGCGGUAAUACGAAGGGUGCAAGCGUUACUCGGAAUUACUGGGCGUAAAGCGUGCGUAGGUGGUUGUUUAAGUCUGUCGUGAAAGCCCUGGGCUCAACCUGGGAAUUGCGAUGGAAACUGGGCGACUAGAGUGUGGCAGAGGGUAGUGGAAUUCCUGGUGUAGCAGUGAAAUGCGUAGAGAUCAGGAGGAACAUCCGUGGCGAAGGCGACUGCCUGGGCCAACACUGACACUGAGGCACGAAAGCGUGGGGAGCAAACAGGAUUAGAUACCCUGGUAGUCCACGCCCUAAACGAUGCGAACUGGAUGUUGGGUGCAAUUUUGGCACGCAGUAUCGAAGCUAACGCGUUAAGUUCGCCGCCUGGGGAGUACGGUCGCAAGACUGAAACUCAAAUGAAUUGAC